CUUGGGCCUCUGGUAUUGCUUGUGCCAAUCCUGGUUGUACUAUUUUUGUCUUAAGACUUGGCGUGUCUGAUAAAGUAUAUAAUUUGACCUAGGCUUCUCGAGGCCAGAAAAGCCAAGCCAACAACUUACAAUCAGACUUUGUUUGCAAUACCUACAGAUAUGAGUGAAUUCCUCCUUUCUCAAGGUCCCUAAAAUAUGCUGAGGCCUGCAUCUGCUAGGAAGAUGCAAGAAAAAGCAAACCACACAGAAGAACUGCACACUGCAAUGAAGUUGGAAUGCAAGUCUUCAUCAGAAGGGAGGGAACAAACUUUGGAUAAUACAACCACAAAAUAUGUGAACCACAAACAAGUAUAAACACACAGAUGAGGAAACUCAGAUGGAAGAACCAUCUUGCCCAAAGCCACCAAGCUUCUAAGCUGGAACACAAAUCCUGGUUUCUCUGCUGCCAGAGCCCUGUGUUCUUAACAGGAAAAGAAGGCAGAUGCUGGCCAAUGAGACCUGGCCAAUGAGAACGUCGCAACGGCAGGCGGCCUCUAUUGGCAGUGGAGAAAUUGAUCAGAUGCCAUUUUUCACACACAAAAAGAAACUAUUCUAGGUACCACCCGUUGAAAUUUGUGCUACGCUGGAGGAAGAAGUCUGACAGUUUCCUACAAGUUGCCCAGCUAUUUCGGGGGAUUUAUUUAUCACCACGUUGGUCUCAUUUUCUCAAGGACGUGUCCCUUAAGAAAGCAGGCUGUGUGGAGUAGUGGAAAGGGUGCAGGAAUGAGAGUUAGGAGAGAGCUGGCCUCUGUUGCUUGCUUACAUACCCCUGCCUCUGACCAGAACAUCCCACCUCUGGGGGCUUCACAUGCUUUAUUUGUAUAAUGAAGGUCUGGAUGUGAUGUCUUGGAUUCCUUCUGGGUUCCCAAGACUAAAGGCAACAAGCUAGUUUGAUCACAUGCCUCAGUCACUAAAACAAAUUUGAAUAUCUGUCCAGAUGUGUGUGUGUGUGUGUAUGUGUAUACAUGUAAUGCUUUAUAACUAUAUUAUAAACUUACAAAAUAUAUAAAAUACAAAUUAAAAAGGAGAUAUAUGUAAAUUCUAACAUUUUCUCUCCAAACUGUAAUAGUUUACCUUAAAUACAGCUGGGGCAAGCUCAUACCUCUUUGGAAAUGUGCUUUAAGGCACAUUUCAGCUCUGUUUUUGUGAUGGGUGUAAGAUAUUAGUCCUAAAUCGCCAUUUCCACAUUGGCUACGGAAGAGCAUAAAUCUGUCAAGUACCUGCAGGUUGCAUACCUUUUGAUUGCAUAUUAAACACGUGAGACAACUUUUUUUUUUAACAUACCAUCUUCUUGGUUAAUCCUGUUAUAACAAUUUUAAAACAGAAUAGUUACAGAGAAAUUUCUUUGCUGCAGAAAAUAACAGUGGAAGCUAGUUAUAAACAGCAACUGACUUCUCAUCUUGAGUCAGGGAAAUGUUUGGGAGCUGCAGGGGUUGGGGAAGUCUGCAGCGUGAAUGCCUUGUCCAAGGACGGAAGCUGCCUUUCAGCUCCAGUGGGCUGUCGUCAUGCAGGACUGAAGGCUGCAUGCUGCCAAAUGUGAUUUCUCAAGAGACUCGGGAGACCUAGAUGUUAACGUGAAAUUAAGUGAAUUUCUCAAAUGAAUGUUUCUCAAAAUUUUAGAGCCAAGCAUAUGAUGAUGAUGGGCCACCCCCAGCUAAUGGGCAGGCCAUUGGCAAUCCUUGAUCUCAUAUUCAGCUGAUAUAGCUUUGUAAUUUUUUGUGAGAGUAUUGGGACUUCGCAAUCAGAAACCCAAGUUCUGGGCAGGGUGAUUAUGGAUGUGUAAGACUGAAAAACAUGAAAUGUCAUUUCAUUGAGAUCAUAAUGUUUUUCUCUCACCAAGUUUUCAAAAAGAGCCACUUGAAUCCUCUUAAGGCUGUACCAUCUAUGUUGUUUCAUCAUUAAAAUAUGGAAAAUAUUAUA